rnacentral:rRNA from 2 species
UACGAAGGGGGCUAGCGUUGUUCGGAAUCACUGGGCGUAAAGCGCACGUAGGCGGAUUAUUAAGUCAGGGGUGAAAGCCUGGAGCUCAACUCCAGAACUGCCUUUGAUACUGAUAGUCUCGAGUUCGGAAGAGGUUGGUGGAACUGCGAGUGUAGAGGUGAAAUUCGUAGAUAUUCGCAAGAACACCAGUGGCGAAGGCGGCCAACUGGUCCGAUACUGACGCUGAGGUGCGAAAGCGUGGGGAGCAAACAGG